ACAAUGGGCCUACAGAUCCAGUUCUGGCUGCAUCUAUAAUUCAGAUUUUUAAAUCUCCGACACUUUUCACCAGUCAUUUCAGCGGCCAAAAGUGUCCAAAUCCACCUGAAUUCACCCUAUGUAUAUAAAUAGCUUACAGGGGAUUUUCCAUCGGUGUCUCAGAUGUGCAGAAAUAUUGAAAAUGGCUGAAGCUAAAGACAUGUCAGAAACUAAGCAAGGCAAAGUCAAUAAGAAAAAUUAUCUAUAACUCUAACGCUUCGGCUGAGACUUACUGUACAUAAAACACUAUUAUGACACAUCUGACAGAUGAUGUUGUUCUGUCAUAUCAUCUUAAGCCGGCCAUCAGCGCUGCUUCAAUGGAGAUCAAGUGGUGGAAUAAGGAGGAUCUGGUCUGCCAUUGUAAGGAUGGACAGAUGAUAGAGAGCUGUGAGGGUCGAGCGAGUCUCUCAUUGGAAGAUCUACUCAAUGGAAAUGUGUCUUUGACAUCUCAGAGAUGCCAGAAGAUCAUAGAAUUUCUCUGUAUUUGUGAAGUCAUUCAUGAAUGUCAAACUACAAGAUAGUGUUUUUCUCCAUAUCAGCUGUAAGUAUUUAACUAAACACGUUUGAAAGAUAUUCAACAUAAGUCAGUCAGUCAAAGCUGAAAUUGUUCCACUAACUCAACUGGUAGAGCAUGUCUCCUGAUAAAAUGCAUAGUCAAAUUUAUUUAUAGUUAUCCACAGUGGACAUUGCUUCAAACCAGCUUUUUCAAUCAAUUGAAAAAAAUUGAAAUGCCAUUAAUGAUGUCUUUAUGUUACUGUUAUUCAUGUGUUCCACAAUAUUUCU